rnacentral:lncRNA from 1 species
CCCUCCUUCUCUUCUUCUUCCUCCCUGUUCCCUUUUCGAUUCGAUUGGAUUGGAUUGUUUUGCUGGCUCGCUCUCUCUCUCUCUCUCGUGGUGUGGUGUGGACAAGAAAGGAAGGAAAGAUGGAGGGCGGCGUAGGGGGGGAGGUGGACCACCUCGCCGGCGAGAGGGCCACCGCGCAGUUCGACGUUGAACACAUGAAGGUUGCCUGGGCUGGCUCCCGCCACGCCGUCGAUGUCGCCGACCGCAUGGCGCGCCUCGUCGCUUCCGACCCC